rnacentral:rRNA from 1 species
CUAGGGCUACACACGUGCUACAAUGGGUGGUGCAAAGAGCAGCUAACUCGCGAGAGUAUGCAAAUCUCAAAAAGCCAUCCUCAGUUCGGAUUGGAGUCUGCAACUCGACUCCAUGAAGUUGGAAUCGCUAGUAAUCGCGGAUCAGCAUGCCGCGGUGAAUACGUUCCCGGGCCUU